rnacentral:rRNA from 1 species
UACGUACCGGACGAACGUUAUUCGGAAUCACUGGGCUUAAAGCGUGCGUAGGCGGUCUGGAAGGUGGGGUGUGAAAUCCCUCGGCUCAACCGAGGAAUUGCGCUUCAAACCACCAGACUUGAGGAAGGCAGGGGUGAGCGGAACUGAUGGUGGAGCGGUGAAAUGCGUUGAUAUCAUCAGGAACACCGGUGGCGAAGGCGGCUCACUGGGCCUUGUCUGACGCUGAGGCUCGAAAGCUAGGGGAGCGAACGGG